rnacentral:rRNA from 1 species
CCUACGGGAGGCAGCAGUGGGGAAUUUUGGACAAUGGACGCAAGUCUGAUCCAGCAAUGCCGCGUGCAGGAUGAAGGCCUUCGGGUUGUAAACUGCUUUUGUACGGAGCGAAAAGGUCUACCCUAAUACGGUGGGCCCAUGACGGUACCGUAAGAAUAAGCACCGGCUAACUACGUGCCAGCAGCCGCGGUAAUACGUAGGGUGCAAGCGUUAAUCGGAAUUACUGGGCGUAAAGCGUGCGCAGGCGGUUAUAUAAGACAGAUGUGAAAUCCCCGGGCUCAACCUGGGACCUGCAUUUGUGACUGUAUAGCUAGAGUACGGUAGAGGGGGAUGGAAUUCCGCGUGUAGCAGUGAAAUGCGUAGAUAUGCGGAGGAACACCGAUGGCGAAGGCAAUCCCCUGGACCUGUACUGACGCUCAUGCACGAAAGCGUGGGGAGCAAACAGGAUUAGAUACCCCUGUAGUC